rnacentral:lncRNA from 1 species
UUUGAUUAUCCACUGUUGAGAGCCACAGCCAAAGGGGCCCCAGCAAACUUCCAGCUGCCAGCAACCAGCUGCCGGCUGAGAUUUGGCUCACAGCGGCCCCAGCAACAUCUAGCUGAUUGGCUCCUCGGCCCCAGCAACAUCUAGCUGAUUGGCUCCUCUGCGGUGAUGCUCAUUGGACUGUUUCCCUGCCCUUUCAGACCACGGA